UUGACUGUGUAUGCGAAUUACAGGAAGUAAUCCGCUAAAUAAUGAGGAAAACAAACAAUAGUUAAAUCACUUAAAUGGAUCUGUUAAAACUCUCACAGAAACGAAAUUGCGUUUAGAACAGAAAUUUUUUUAAUUAAACUUACUAAAUCUUGUAUAUAAUAUUUUCCUACUUCAUAAAACUUACUUUAAAAUAAAAAAUAAAAAAAGUCUUACCCGGGUAUUGAACAGAUGGCGUGCGGCACCGUAGCACAAGGCACAAGGCACAAGGCUCCAGCCACUCGGCCAACUGUUCCUCUUAAAUAGAUGUUUUUUUUUUGUCAUUGUGUAUGCGUAUUUUAUCAGUUUAGUCCAUAAUGUACCAUAUGUGGUUAUUCUCACUACGCACUCUUCUUCAUUGCCCAGGAAAUCUCUCUAUGCGAAGCUAAUCAAGAUGGACUUGCCCUGUCUUGAUUGACUGUGUGUAAUAAACUUGUUAGUUUAAUCCCUCGUCCGCCCUCGUCGCUGUUCCAAACCUUAUCCACUAGUGGAAUAUGCCGAAAGAUGUUGAACUUAUUCCAGGUUAACCCUUCGCCAUCGUGCUAUAGAAGUUGACGGUUAAAGAAGAGCUUGCUUUCGAUCAAUAACAAUAAAUUAGGUAAAUGUAGAUAAAUUACAAGUGCAUGGGCUCCCUUCUAUUCUGUGGCCCCGUUUCCCUAACUAACCACCUACGGAGGGCUCUGGUCGAACGGGGACUUGAACGGUUCAUGUUCUGAAGAAAAUUUUUGGAGGGACAAGAGUCUAAUCAGGCAGUCUACUAUGAUCCCAAGCAAAAAUUGCCUCGCACUCUAAGCUUCUAUCUUCUUCCCUGUCCGGGUAAUCUCUCUGGGCAGAGUCAAUCAAGGUAGUCUCCCCCUAUCUAGAUUGGAUGUGCGAGGCCUAGCAACUAAUGGAAAUUUGCGUUUGGUUAUUUAAACUUCAGCAGUAUAUCGUUUAUUUCAUUUUAUGUUAGACUAUUUAUUUAGCUAGAAUGAAAAAAGGAAAAUUUCGCUUUGAAGUAUAUUGUUUAUUAUGUUAUUAUUCAUGAAUAAGUAGUUAUGAGAAUAAGUAUAUUAAGUUGUAACAGGAUUAUUUAUAAAUAUAUUUCAUAGAAAUGUGGUUAAAUGGUGUAAGCAAUAAAUGUAUAGGUGUAUGUUUAUAAGAUUAAUAAAGUUGAAGAUAUUUAUAAUUACCGAAUCAAUUUCUUCGACAAAACACUUCAACAUUUCUUUUAAAUAUUUAAGUCUCCCUCCCACCUCCUCGUUGCUUUCCCAAUCUUUGAUUUGUUUACUAUUUGGCAAAAUGACAAUUUAACAUACUGUUUGAAACUUCCGCAACAUGAAACCAUCAUCAAGGUACAGUCACAGUUCAA
rnacentral:lncRNA from 1 species